rnacentral:rRNA from 1 species
AUUGAACGCUGGCGGCAUGCCUUACACAUGCAAGUCGAACGGCAGCACGGGUGCUUGCACCUGGUGGCGAGUGGCGAACGGGUGAGUAAUACAUCGGAACAUGUCCUGUAGUGGGGGAUAGCCCGGCGAAAGCCGGAUUAAUACCGCAUACGAUCUACGGAUGAAAGCGGGGGACCUGCGGGCCUCGCGCUAUAGGGUUGGCCGAUGGCUAAUUAGCUAGUUGGUGGGGUAAAGGCCUACCAAGGCGACGAUCAGUAGCUGGUCUGAGAGGACGACCAGCCACACUGGGACUGAGACACGGCCCAGACUCCUACGGGAGGCAGCAGUGGGGAAUUUUGGACAAUGGGCGAAAGCCUGAUCCAGCAAUGCCGCGUGUGUGAAGAAGGCCUUCGGGUUGUAAAGCACUUUUGUCCGGAAAGAAAUCCUUGGCCCUAAUACGGUCGGGGGAUGACGGUACCGGAAGAAUAAGCACCGGCUAACUACGUG